rnacentral:rRNA from 1 species
UACAGAGGUCUCAAGCGUUGUUCGGAUUCAUUGGGCGUAAAGGGUGUGUAGGUGGCGCGCUAAGUCGGGUGUGAAAUUUCGGAGCUUAACUCCGAAACUGCAUUCGAUACUGGCGUGCUUGAGGACUGGAGAGGAGACUGGAAUUCAUGGUGUAGCAGUGAAAUGCGUAGAGAUCAUGAGGAAGACCAGUGGCGAAGGCGACUUUCUGGUCUGUAACUGACACUGAGGCGCGAAAGCGUGGGGAGCAAACAGG